rnacentral:lncRNA from 1 species
AUAUUUUUGAGGAAAAAAUUUUAAAUUGGACAAAAAGAUAUAAAGUGAACAGGAAAUAUCCUCCGACCACUUUCUCUCCCCCUCCAUCCUCACUCCCCAUGGGUAGCUAAUAUUAAUGCACUUUUUCAGAAAUGUUCCACUCUGCAUCAGUGGAACUGAACUAAACCAGACACUUUAGUACAUCCUUCAAUAACCUUUGUCUUAUUGACCGAACUAUGACUCGGCACACCCUUCCCCAGUCAAGAAUAUUGUUCUUCUACCUCUGUGACUUUGAACUCUCAACAGAAAUAUCCCCCUUUGGGGUAUGAGCCAUAUAAACAGGGCUAGACCAAGCUCUGUGAACUACCCCCUCCC